rnacentral:rRNA from 1 species
GAUGAACGCUGGCGGCGUGCCUAACACAUGCAAGUCGAGCGAGACCUUCGGGUCUAGCGGCGGACGGGUGAGUAACGCGUGGGAAUAUGCCCUUCGGUUCGGAAUAGCCCCGGGAAACUGGGAGUAAUACCGGAUACGGUCUACGGACGAAAGAUUUAUCGCCGAAGGAUUAGCCCGCGUUGGAUUAGGUAGUUGGUGGGGUAAUGGCCUACCAAGCCGACGAUCCAUAGCUGGUUUGAGAGGAUGAUCAGCCACACUGGGACUGAGAUACGGCCCAGACUCCUACGGGAGGCAGCAGCAAGGAAUUUUCGUCAAUGGGGGCAACCCUGAACGAGCAACGCCGCGUGGGCGAAGAAGUCCUUCGGGAUGUAAAGCCCUUUUCCCUCUGGAGAGCGAAAGACGGUAGGAGGGGAAUAAGCAUCGGCUAACUACGUGCCAGCCGCCGCAGUAA